rnacentral:rRNA from 1 species
AUUGAACGCUGGCGGCAUGCUUUACACAUGCAAGUCGAACGGCAGCACGAAAGAGCUUGCUCUUUUGGUGGCGAGUGGCGAACGGGUGAGUAAUGCAUCGGAACGUACCGAGUAAUGGGGGAUAACUGUCCGAAAGGAUAGCUAAUACCGCAUACGCUUUGAGAAGGAAAGUGGGGGCUCUUCGGACCUCACGCUAUUCGAGCGGCCGAUGUCUGAUUAGCUAGUUGGUGGGGUAAAGGCCUACCAAGGCGACGAUCAGUAGCGGGUCUGAGAGGAUGAUCCGCCACACUGGGACUGAGACACGGCCCAGACUCCUACGGGAGGCAGCAGUGGGGAAUUUUGGACAAUGGGCGCAAGCCUGAUCCAGCCAUGCCGCGUGUCUGAAGAAGGCCUUCGGGUUGUAAAGGACUUUUGUUAGGGAAGAAAAGGAUAGUGUUAAUACCAUUAUCUGCUGACGGUACCUAAAGAAUAAGCACCGGCUAACUACGUG